rnacentral:lncRNA from 1 species
UAGUCUUGGCAUCUUUGACAAAAAUCAUUUCACUGUAUAUUGAGGAAGAUGGGCCCUGAGCUAACAUCUAUUGCCAAUCCUCCUCUUUUUGCUUGAGAAAGAUUGUCCCUGAGCUAACAUCCAUGCCAGUUUUCCUCUAUUUUGUUUCUGGGAUACUGCCACAGCAUGGCUUGAUGAAGAGAUGGACAGAGAGAUCCCAAUUCACACCUGGGAUCCAAAACUGCGGACCCUGGGCUGCUGAGCAGAGUGCACAAACUUAUCCUCUACGCUGCCAGGACAGCCACUAUUUAUGUUCUCCUUAAUUUCUUUCAGUAAUGUUUUGUAGUUUUCAUUGUGCAAGUCUUUCACAUUCUUGGUAGUUAAUUUCUAAGUAUUUUAUUCUUUUUUGAUGCUAUUGUAAAUGGAAUUGUUUUUGUCAUUUCCUCUUCAGAUAGUUCAUUGUUUGUGUGUAGAAAUGAAACAGAUUUUUGUAUGUUGACUUUGUAUCCUGCUACUUUGCUGAAUUCAUUUAUUAGUUGCAAUUUUUUUUUUUUUGGUGAGGUCUUUAGUGUUUUCUACAUAUAAGAUCAUAUCAUCUGCAAACAGAUAAUUCUACUUCUUCCUUUCCAAUUUGGAUUCCUUCUACUUUUUUCCUUGCUUAAUUGCUCUGGCUAGAACUUCCAGUACUAUGUUAAAUAGAAAGUGAAAGGUGAAAGUGAGCAUUUUUGCCUUGUUCCUGAUCUUAGAGGAAAAGCUUUCAGUCUUUCACCAUUGAGUAUGAUGGUUGCUGCGGGUUUUUACACAUGGCUUUUAUUAUGUUGAGAGAGUUCCUUC